GAUGAACGCUGGCGGCGUGCUUAACACAUGCAAGUCGAACGAUGAAGCCCAGCUUGCUGGGUGGAUUAGUGGCGAACGGGUGAGUAACACGUGAGUAACCUGCCCUUGACUCUAGGAUAAGCACGGGCAACUGGGUCUAAUACUGGAUAGGAACGUCUACCGCAUGGUGGGUGUUGGAAAGAAUUUCGGUCAUGGAUGGACUCUCGGCCUAUCAGCUUGUUGGUGAGGUAGUGGCUCACCAAGGCGACGACGGGUAGCCGGCCUUAGAGGGUGACCGGCCACCCUGGGACUGAGACACGGCCCAGACUCCUACGGGAGGCAGCAGUGGGGAAUAUUGCACAAUGGGCGAACGCCUGAUGCAGCGACGCCGCGUGCGGGAUGACGGCCUUCGGGUUGUAAACCUCUUUCAGUAGGGAAGAAGCGAAAGUGACGGUACCUGCAGAAGAAGCACCGGCUAACUACGUG
rnacentral:rRNA from 1 species